rnacentral:rRNA from 1 species
AUGAACGCUGGCGGCGUGACUAAUGCAUGCAAGUCGCGCGAACGGACGAGAAGCUUGCUUCUCUGAUGUUAGCGGCGGACGGGUGAGUAACACGUGGAUAACCUACCUAUAAGACUGGGAUAACUUCGGGAAACCGGAGCUAAUACCGGAUAAUAUUUUGAACCGCAUGGUUCAAAAGUGAAAGACGGUCUUGCUGUCACUUAUAGAUGGAUCCGCGCUGCAUUAGCUAGUUGGUAAGGUAACGGCUUACCAAGGCAACGAUGCAUAGCCGACCUGAGAGGGUGAUCGGCCACACUGGAACUGAGACACGGUCCAGACUCCUACGGGAGGCAGCAGUAGGGAAUCUUCCGCAAUGGGCGAAAGCCUGACGGAGCAACGCCGCGUGAGUGAUGAAGGUCUUCGGAUCGUAAAACUCUGUUAUUAGGGAAGAACAUAUGUGUAAGUAACUGUGCACAUCUUGACGGUACCUAAUCAGAAAGCCACGGCUAACUACGUG